GUACCAUAACCGACACAGGUGGGUAGGUAGAGUAUACUAAGGGGCGCGAGAUAACUCUCUCUAAGGAACUCGGCAAAAUGACUCCGUAACUUCGGGAGAAGGAGUGCCUUAUUUAUAAGGUUGCAAUAACAAGAUCCAAGCAACUGUUUAUCAAAAACACAGGUCUCCGCUAAGUCGUAAGACGAUGUAUGGGGGCUGACGCCUGCCCAGUGCCAGAAGGUUAAAGAAGUUGGUUAGUGUAUGCGAAGCUGAUGACUGAAGCCCUGGUGAACGGCGGCCGUAACUAUAACGGUCCUAAGGUAGCGAAAUUCCUUGUCGGGUAAGUUCCGACCCGCACGAAAGGCGUAAUGAUUUGGAUACUGUCUCGGAGAGAGGCUCGGUGAAAUAGACUUGUCUGUGAAGAUGCGGACUACCUGCACCAGGACAGAAAGACCCUAUGAAGCUUAACUGUAACUUGAAAUUGGAAUUGGACUUUGCUUGCGCAGUAUAGGUGGGAAGCGUUGAAGAUAUUCUUGCGGGAGUAUUGGAGCUAUCAGUGAGAUACCACUCUUGUAAUGUUAGAUUUCUAACUUUGAACCAUAAUCUGGUCAAAGAACAGUUUCAGGUGGGCAGUUUGACUGGGGCGGUCGCCUCCCAAAUGGUAACGGAGGCGUACAAAGGUUUCCUCUGAACGGAUAGAAAUCGUAUCUAGAGUGUAAAGGCAUAAGGAAGCUUGACUGUGAGACCUACAAGUCGAGCAGGGACGAAAGUCGGUCUUAGUGAUCUGACGGUACUGAGUGGAAAGGCCGUCACUCAACGGAUAAAAGUACUCUAGGAUAACAGGUUGAUCUCCCCCAAGAGUUCACAUCGACGGGGAGGUUUGGCACCUCGAUGUCGGCUCAUCGCAUCCUGGGGCGGUAGUACGUCCCAAGGGUUGGGCUGUUCGCCCAUGAAAGCGGUACGCGAGCUGGGUUCAGAACGUCGUGAGACAGUUCGGUCCAUAUCCGGUGUAGGCGUUAGAAUAUUGAGAGGAGCCUUCUUUAGUACGAGAGGACCGAGAAGGACACACCGCUGGUGUACCAGUUAUCGUGCCAACGGUAAACGCUGGGUAGCUAUGUGUGGAGUGGAUAACCGCUGAAAGCAUCUAAGUGGGAAGCCCACCUCAAGAUGAGUAUUCUCAUCACUAUAAGUGAGUAAGGUCACGGUAAGACUAACCGUUUGAUAGGCAUUAAGUGUAAAUGUAGUAAUGCAUGUGCUGAGAUGUCCUAACAGACCGAGGACUUGAGU
rnacentral:rRNA from 1 species